GGGGUUGUGGCUCAGUGGUAGAGUGCUUACCUAGCAUGUGUGAGGCACUGGGUUCAAUCCUCAGCACCA
rnacentral:tRNA from 1 species